GACGAACGCUGGCGGCGUGGAUUAGGCAUGCAAGUCGAACGGUAUCAUCCUUUCGGGGGUGAGAGAGUGGCGAACUGGCGAGUAACACGUAGGUUAUCUACCCUCAAGACGGGGACAACCCAGGGAAACUUGGGCUAAUACCGGAUGUGAGCAACUUUUAGUUGUUUGAAAGGUGGCGUAAGCUGUCGCUUGGGGAUGAGCCUGCGUCCUAUUAGUUAGUUGGUGAGGUAACGGCUCACCUAGGCAAUGAUAGGUAGGCGGCCUUAACGGGUGGUCGCCCACACUGGGAUUGAGAUACGGCCCAGACUCCUACGGGAGGCAGCAGUCGAGAAUAGUCUACAAUGGUCGGAAGACUGAUAGUGCGACGCCGCGUGAACGAUGAAUCCCUUCGGGGUGUAAAGUUCUUUUAUAUGUGAGCAGUGCUUCUUAUAUUUAACAGUAUGGGGAGAAGAGAUAUUAGCAUAUGAAUAAGCAACGGCUAACUCCGUGCCAGCAGCCGCGGUAAUA
rnacentral:rRNA from 1 species